rnacentral:RNase_P_RNA from 1 species
CAUGCUCGCACAUUCCGUGAUGGAUGUAGUGUUUGUGCUGGAUGAAACGAUAAAUCCAGGCAGCGUAAGCUGACGGCUGGAGAAGGCCUGUGGUGAAAGCUAUGGCGGACUCCUUUAAAAGUGCCACAGAGACGAGCUUUUCGGGAAACCGGAAAGAUGGAACGGGUAAACCCCGCAAGCGAGAAACCCAAAUUUGGUAGGGGAAUUUCCGGAGCGGAACUGAACGCGAAGGAGAGCGUAUGCAAAUACGGAGAUAGAUGAUUGUCGCCUGCGUGUGAGGGUCAAACCGUUUGAAACACUAAGGAACAGAACAUGGCUUACAGGA